GAUGAACGCUGGCGGCGUGCCUAAUACAUGCAAGUCGAGCGAACGGACGAGAAGCUUGCUUCUCUGAUGUUAGCGGCGGACGGGUGAGUAACACGUGGAUAACCUACCUAUAAGACUGGGAUAACUUCGGGAAACCGGAGCUAAUACCGGAUAAUAUUUUGAACCGCAUGGUUCAAAAGUGAAAGACGGUCUUGCUGUCACUUAUAGAUGGAUCCGCGCUGCAUUAGCUAGUUGGUAAGGUAACGGCUUACCAGGGCAACGAUGCAUAGCCGACCUGAGAGGGUGAUAGGCCACACGGGAACUGAGACACGGUCCAGACUCCUACGGGAGGCAGCAGUAUGGAAUCUGCCGCAAUGGGCGAGAGCCUGACGGAGCAACGCCGCGUGAGUGAUGAAGGUCUUCGGAUCGUAAAACUCUGUUAUUAGGGAAGAACAUAUGUGUAAGUAACUGUGCACAUCUUGACGGUACCUAAUCAGAAAGCCACGGCUAACUACGUG
rnacentral:rRNA from 1 species